rnacentral:rRNA from 1 species
GAUGAACGCUGGCGGCGUGCUUAACACAUGCAAGUCGAACGAAGCAUUUAAGACAGAUUACUUCGGUUUGAAGUCUUUUAUGACUGAGUGGCGGACGGGUGAGUAACGCGUGGGUAACCUGCCUCAUACAGGGGGAUAGCAGCUGGAAACGGCUGGUAAUACCGCAUAAGCGCACAGUACCACAUGGUACAGUGUGAAAAACUCCGGUGGUAUGAGAUGGACCCGCGUCUGAUUAGCUAGUUGGCGGGGUAACGGCCCACCAAGGCGACGAUCAGUAGCCGACCUGAGAGGGUGACCGGCCACAUUGGGACUGAGACACGGCCCAGACUCCUACGGGAGGCAGCAGUGGGGAAUAUUGCACAAUGGAGGAAACUCUGAUGCAGCGACGCCGCGUGAGUGAAGAAGUAGUUCGCUAUGUAAAGCUCUAUCAGCAGGGAAGAUAGUGACGGUACCUGACUAAGAAGCUCCGGCUAAAUACGUG